UGCUCAGAUUGAACGCUGGCGGCAUGCCUUACACAUGCAAGUCGAACGGCAGCAUAGGAGCUUGCUCCUGAUGGCGAGUGGCGAACGGGUGAGUAAUAUAUCGGAACGUGCCCUAGAGUGGGGGAUAACUAGUCGAAAGACUAGCUAAUACCGCAUACGAUCUACGGAUGAAAGUGGGGGAUCGCAAGACCUCAUGCUCCUGGAGCGGCCGAUAUCUGAUUAGCUAGUUGGUGGGGUAAAAGCUCACCAAGGCGACGAUCAGUAGCUGGUCUGAGAGGACGACCAGCCACACUGGGACUGAGACACGGCCCAGACUCCUACGGGAGGCAGCAGUGGGGAAUUUUGGACAAUGGGGGCAACCCUGAUCCAGCAAUGCCGCGUGAGUGAAGAAGGCCUUCGGGUUGUAAAGCUCUUUUGUCAGGGAAGAAACGGUUCUGGAUAAUACCUGGGACUAAUGAC
rnacentral:rRNA from 1 species